UGUCCGGCGGGCAGCGAGUCCCGCUGUCCUUGUUGCGGGUGCGGCUCUGGGAUUCAGGGUCGCUUCGGGCGCCUGUCCUCCACCUGUCGGCCCAGGAUGGACCCCGAGGAGGAAGCGGCGGCACUGGCGGUGGCUACGGGUCCGCCGGCGGAACGGUUCCAGGAGCCGGUGACUUUCCGGGACAUAGCUGUGGACUUCACCCAGGAGGAGUGGGGACAGCUGGGCCCUGCCCAGAGGACCCUGUACCGUGACGUGAUGCUGGAGACCUUCGGGCAUCUGCUCUCUGUGGGGCCUGAGCUUCCCAAACCUGAAGUCAUCUCCCAGCUGGAGCAAGGGGCUGAGCUGUGGGUGGCAGAGAGAGGAAUUGUCCAGGGCUGCUGCCCAGGCCGGGAGCCUGGACCUGAGGGCCGAGCGCCGCCCCAGGAGCAGGAGAAGGGGCGGGAAGGCUUCCUGGGGGAGGCGCUGUGUCUCGCCACACCGGGGGAAGACUGGGACCGUGAGGGCCGGGUACAGAAGCCCGAGAAGGACCAGGGCAAUCGGAGGCGCUUGGAUGUCAGCCUCAAGGAAGCACCGGUUCAAGAUGGACCCCAUGAAAGCCUCAGACUUGGGGAAAACUGUGUCCUGAGUCCAGACCUCAGUCCGCUCCUGGAGGUUUCCAGGACCGAGUGUCUGUUUGCCCCCGACUCACGGGAUACAAGCUGGGAGCGGAACCCGGGUGCUGUGGGUGAGCAGAUGCGCUCCGCGGGCAGACAGCCGCCUGACAGCGGCGACCGCAGCUGCUCUUCCGGUCAGGCCGCGCCGGAGCCGGAGCCGGAGCCGGAGCCUGCGCGCCCCCAGGUGCCCGACAAACCCUACAAGUGCGCGGACUGCGGCAAGUCCUUCAACCACAACGCGCACCUCACGGUGCACCGGCGCAUCCACACGGGCGAGCGGCCGUACGCGUGCAAGGAGUGCGGCAAGGCCUUCAGCCAGAACUCCUCGCUGGUGCAGCACGAGCGCAUCCACACGGGCCACAAGCCCUACAAGUGCGCCGACUGCGGCAAGUCCUUCUGCCACAGCACGCACCUCACGGUGCACCGGCGCAUCCACACCGGGGAGAAGCCCUACGCCUGCCAGGACUGCGGGCGGGCCUUCAACCAGAACUCGUCCCUGGGCCGCCACCGGCGCACGCACACUGGGGAGAAGCCGUUCGCCUGCAGCGUGUGCGGCAAGGCCUUCUCGCGCACCACGUGCCUGUUCCUGCACCUGAGGACGCACACGGCCGAGAGGCCCUACGAGUGCAGCCGCUGCGGCAAGGGCUUCCGGCACAGCUCCUCCCUGGCGCAGCACCAACGCAAGCACGCGGGCGAGGGGCCCUACGACUGUCGCCAGCGGCUGGCCUUCGAGCCCACGCCCGCAUGGCCGGAGCCCCUGACCCCCGGCGACGGGGCUCCCCGCAGCGACAGGCCCUUCAGGUGCGGCCAGUGCGGCAAGUGCUUCACGCAGAGCUCGCACCUCAUCCGGCACCAGAUAACGCACACCAGGGAGGGGGGCCGGGGCCGGGGCCGGGGACGACGGCGCCCGCAGCCCUGUGGCCGGAGCCCGCACCUCGGCCGGCACCAGCCCCGUCCCGCGGGCGAGAGCCCUGGGGCUGGGACGAAGGCGGGACAGCCUGCCGGCAGGGCACUGGCCCUGUUUGACAUCCAUGAAAUCAUGCAAGAGAAAAGCCCCGUGCACGUUAUUGGGGUGGAAGAGCCUUCUGUGGGCACGUCCGUGGUGUUUGACAUCAGAGAAUCCACAUAGGGGAGAGACUCUGCGGGUGACUUUUGAACCACAGGUACAGAAGUGGGGUAAGUCCACACAGUGUAUUUACAGAAGAGGGGCUGGGGAUGGAAAUGCUCUCUGAUUUCCUCAGGAAAUGAUGCUUCCCCAAACAGCUGAGAUCAGAGGUUCUCCAAUCUAUCAAGCCCAGUACCCUGAAAUGAAUUCACAGUCUUUUAUGUGUUGGGGGAAACAAUCAACAGGAUAACCUAAAUUUUGUCCCCAUCCCAAGCCUGCCCGUCAGACCCUCCUUGGCCUGGUGGAGUGACCUGAUUGGGCGUCAAGUCACCAGGCUGUGAGGAACGGCCGUGUGAAUGGUGUGACCCACUGUUCUAUUCUCAGAGUUCAUCAGCACCUUCUCCAGCACAGCUCCCCAUCUUUCUGGCGUCUCUGCUGGAAGACCUUUGGAAGACCUUUCUCCCAACUGUCAAUGCCCAGGAAAGCGAGAUGUGUGAGAAAAUGAUUUAUUUGUAUAUGAUGCAGGACAUUCUAACAUGACCAUUUUCACGUCCACAAUUGGAAACUUGGUCUGGAUCAUCUUUUUCCUUUCCUCCAACUUUAUUUCUGAGGAAAGCAAAGCCUUCUGACCUUAGCUAUGCUGUUCUUGACGUAAAGUAGAACAUUGUGUUCGAGGUGUGAUUCUUGGUAUCUCAUAGCAGAAAGGAUGCAAAAGCCAAGGAUUUAAGCCUGCCUGCUUUCUAACCUAGAAUGGAGAAGCAAAACGCCUGUCCCACCCGGACACUACAUCGUGUGCUCCAUUUAUACAGCACAGUUGCCUUUUUUUGUUUGCUUGCUGUUCCCACUGCAGUUGCGUUUUAGUGAUGUUUAAUACAAGCCAUACACAUCAUUAUGGAAGGAAGGAAGCUUGUAGAAAUUGUUCCUAAAAGUAUCCCACAGAAGGAAUGUUGGAUUGGCAGAGCGUUGAGUUGAAGGGAAGAAGUAUCACCCUGGAAGGACACAACGGCAGUUCCAGGAGCUGUGGCAGAGCGGCUGCACGCCGGGACUCCCGCUGCCAAGACGUGAUGCUCAAGUGCCAGAGCCCAUCGGAACUUUCUCGGCUCCGUUUCUCUUUAGGUGCUGUGAGUGUCACAGCCCAUGGCGUUUCCAUCAUGGCAGAGCUGGCCUCCAGGACGCUCAGAGCCACCUCACAGCUCAUUUCCAGAGGUUCCGCAAGACCCCUCAAAGCCUCGAGGUUGCCUCUCUGCGCUCACCUGUCCUCUGGGCUUGUCCUCACGGACUUCCCUUGUCAGCUGUCACCGUUACAGCGCCUCCAUCCUCACGCCGGCGCCACCUUCCACUUCAUUCUUAGCAAAUAACCUUCUAUUUCCAUGGCUCAGAAAAGGUGUGUUUUCAGACAGGCAGUGCCUCACAGUUCUGUGAGGCAGUGCCAUUUUACAUGUAAGAAAAAUACGGCACAGGACACAAGUAGCCGUCCCAAGGUCACACAGCUGGGAGGUGGAGGCAGAAUUGGAGGUCACCGCCCUGUUGACAGUGGCUUGAACAAAUCAGGCUUUGUUCGAAGGCCGCGUCUUCGGUGGCUCAGCCACAUCAGAGACAGUGUUUUCUCUCCCAGCCUGUCCCUGCUUGUCGCAGGGAGACUCCUGCAGCCCCAGCUGUUGUGUCCACAGUCAGGACCGGAGGAGGGGGCGGGGCAGGUCUACGCUCAUCUCUCCAGCGAGGCUGCAAAGGAAAGGCUCUCCCCGAAGCUUCCAGCCGAUGCCCGUUAGGUCUCACUGGCCAAGACUGGGUCACAGGCCCCUCCCUCCUCCCCCGCCCCGUGACGAGGGGGCUUGGAAACCUAGUGAUGAGCUUCUCUAACCCCUGAGGCUGAGACUGUACCAGAGAAAAGGUUUUGGGAAGCGGUACUGGAUAGGCAGCGGGCAGCCGCUGCACCUUUUCUCCUCCAGGCUCUUCUUGGAGGAGGUGCCACUUCCUGACCGGGGCCACCACCUCUCAGCACCGUCCCUUCAUCCCCAGGAUGGUCCAGCCUGCCGGCCGGUCCCCCUCCCUGCAGUGCUCGGUCCCCUGGCAUUCUGGAACUCCACACUCUUCCAGAUCUCUCCCACCUCUCGAGGGACUUCUUGCCACCCCCCCCCCCCCUUAAGUGUUGGAGUCCCUGCGCAUUGUCCCAGCAGCACAUCUUGUGUUCUGUAGGCUCCCAGGAUGUCUUCGUCCACACCCACGGCUUCGUGCUGCUCACUCCCAGCUCCACGUAGAUGCCCCACACACUCUGAGCACACAGCCUACCUGAAGGGAAAGGCCACUUUCCGAUCCAGACCUGUUCCUCCUCCCCGGGUCCCUUUGACGGGGCUUGUUGCCACCCGCCACCCCAUCAAGCCAGAAGACAGAUAUCCUGUUGGUUUUACCAUCUACACAUUUCAUCUGUCUCACAUCCCACUGCCACCACUGGUGCAGGACGGCCGCCAGAGGGCAAGUAACACGACAGCGAGUGGCCUGGCCACCAGAGCCCGCCCCGCUUUUCGCUUUACCUCCUCACUGCCCCAUGAGUGGCGUGGGGUGCAGACUCAGAAGGCUCCCACUGCCAGUGUGCUCUAGGGAGGGAGACCCAGUGGUAACUUCCCCUCUGUGGACAGGUUGGAAACCAGGCCUACAAUUGUUCUGUACCCUCCACCUUGGCCCCCAAAAUGGCAGCUGCCAAAGGGUCAUGUUUCCACAGUUCUCAGAAUGGACACUGGGUGGGCUGAGGCUACAGUGGAUUCACUGGGUAAACUGGGGACAAGCUUGUCACUGUCACCAUUUGCUGCCCUCUCGCGUGCACUGCAGGUCUUUGGGAAUUUUCCAUUUUUCUUUUCAGGUCGUGUUUUCCAGGCAUCAUAUUCCUAUUAAUUCCUUACAGAUACUUUGAAACAAAGUCAGAUAGGAAACUCCUCAGGGGAAAUUACUAUAAACUAGGGAAAAUAUAUGGUUUUAUCAGUUUAUCAGAGUAAUGCAAAUUCUUUGUAGCAAAACAUGGAAAAUGCACAAAAGUAAAAUACACAGAAGUAUGAAGGUUUACUUAAAAUUUAAUUCCUCAUACUUCCACCAUCCAGAGAUGGUUAUUACCUUAAGAUUUUGUUAAUUUUCCUUGUAAUUUUUUCUUGCAAUAUACAUGUGUGUAUACAUAGAGUGAACACAAUCUUAUACACACAACAAAAAUAUGUAUAGUUAUCUUGUGUUUAGAAAAUUGGAAUCCUUCUACUUCUCUUGUAACAUGUGCUUCUUACUAUAUUUUGAACAUUUUCCUCUGAAAAUGGAUUUCGUGUAGCUUUUUGAAUUACCUUUCAGGAAGAUUGUAGCAAUGUGACCUUCAUCCAGCAUCUUACCAGCCUUGACUUUUAUCCAAGAGGAGGAAGAGGGAUUCAUACACAUUUCUGAAGGAGUAUGAAUUGAUAUGGCCUCUGUGAAGGGCACUUUGUUGGUUGCUAUCUGAAUUACAAACAAACAAACUCUGUCUCAGCAAGUCAGUUGCUGGUAAUCAAUCCUACAGAUAUAUUUGUACCUGUGCAAACUUUGUAUUUUUUACUAUGGUAUUGAAAAGUGAAAAUUUGGAAACAACCUCAGUGAACACCACAUGGAGCUAGCUAAGUGAUUUAUGGUGGACUGGCUGGCUUUUACACAGCCUUAAAAUGGGGACUGUCUUUAUGAACACAUGUGGAAAAGAAUGCCAAGAUACAUUGUUAAGUGAAAAGGUAUGAAACAGUUUGUAUGGUAUGUUUUUAUUUGUGUAAAGAGGAAGCCAUUGCUUACACACACACACACACACACACACACACACACUCACACACAGAUCAUCUGAAGAGUACAAAGUGACCGUACAUACUAGUCGCUCUUGGGGAGGAGAAGUGGGGAAAGGAUGAGGGAUAAUUUUCAUUAUAUAUCUUGAUAUUUUUUGGAAUUUUGAAACGUUAAAGUAUUACCAGUUCAAGAAAUAAAUUUAAACACAA